rnacentral:rRNA from 1 species
UAAUUAACUGGACGUUACCCACAGAAGAAGCACCGGCUAACUCCGUGCCAGCAGCCGCGGUAAUACGGAGGGUGCGAGCGUUAAUCGGAAUUACUGGGCGUAAAGGGUGCGUAGGUGGUUGAUUAAGUUAUCUGUGAAAUUCCUGGGCUUAACCUGGGACGGUCAGAUAAUACUGGUUGACUCGAGUAUGGGAGAGGGUAGUGGAAUUUCCGGUGUAGCGGUGAAAUGCGUAGAGAUCGGAAGGAACACCAGUGGCGAAGGCGGCUACCUGGCCUAAUACUGACACUGAGGCACGAAAGCGUGGGGAGCAAACAGGAUUAGAUACCCUGGUAGUCCACGCUGUAAA